rnacentral:rRNA from 1 species
UACGUAGGGGGCAAGCGUUGUCCGGAAUCAUUGGGCGUAAAGCGCGUGUAGGCGGCCCGGUAAGUCCGCUGUAAAAGUCCAGGGCUCAACCCUGGAAGGCCGGUGGAUACUGUCGGGCUCGAGUCCGGAAGAGGCGAGUGGAAUUCUCGGUGUAGAGGUGAAAUUCGUAGAUAUCGAGAGGAACACCGGUGGCGAAGGCGGCUACCUGGACAGUGACUGACGCUGAGACGCGAAAGCGUGGGGAGCAAACAGG